CAGCCGCGUAAUUCCAGCUCCAAUAGCGUAUAUUAAAGUUGUUGCAGUUAAAAAGCUCGUAGUUGAACUUCGGGAUCAAUUAGUUGGUCAUGCCUUGGUAUGUACUGAUUUUAUUGGUUCUCACCUUCUAAAGAACUAUAAUGUCAUUUAUUUGAUGUUAUAGGGAAUUAGGACUGUUACCUUGAAAAAAUUAGAGUGUUUAAAGCAGGCUCACGCUUGAAUACAUUAGCAUGGAAUAAUGAAAUAGGACAUCGCAUUCUAUUUUGUUGGUUUCUAGGAUCGAUGUAAUGAUUAAUAGGGAUAGUUGGGGGCAUUAGUAUUCAAUUGUCAGAGGUGAAAUUCUUGGAUUUAUUGAAGACUAACUACUGCGAAAGCAUUUGCCAAGGAUGUUUUCAUUAAUCAAGAACGAAAGUUAGGGGAUCGAAGACGAUCAGAUACCGUCGUAGUCUUAACCAUAAACUAUGCCGACUAGGGAUCGGAUGAUGUUGAUUUUUUAAUGACUCAUUCGGCACCUUACA
rnacentral:misc_RNA from 1 species